UACGAGGGGUGCUAGCGUUGCUCGGAAUUAUUGGGCGUAAAGGGUAGGUAGGUGGUCUCAUUUGUCUGGGGUGAAAGCCUUGAGCUUAACUCAAGAAGUGCCCCGGAAACGGUGAGACUAGAGUCCUGGAGAGGGUCGUGGAAUUCCCGGUGUAGCGGUGAAAUGCGUAGAGAUCGGGAGGAACACCAGAGGCGAAGGCGGCGACCUGGACAGGUACUGACACUCAACUACGAAAGCGUGGGGAGCAAACAGG
rnacentral:rRNA from 1 species